CCUACGGUAGGCAGCAGUGGGGAAUCUUGCGCAAUGGGCGAAAGCCUGACGCAGCAACGCCGCGUGCGGGAUGAAGGCCUUCGGGUUGUAAACCGCUUUUAACAGGAACGAAAAUGACGGUACCUGUAGAAUAAGGUGCGGCCAACUACGUGCCAGCAGCCGCGGUGACACGUAGGCACCAAGCGUUGUCCGGAUUUAUUGGGCGUAAAGAGCUCGUAGGCGGUUCGAUAAGUCGGGUGUGAAAACUCUGGGCUUAACCCAGAGACGCCACUCGAUACUAUUGUGACUAGAGUUCGGUAGGGGAGCGGGGAAUUCCUAGUGUAGCGGUGAAAUGCGCAGAUAUUAGGAGGAACACCGGUGGCGAAGGCGCCGCUCUGGGCCGAAACUGACGCUGAGGAGCGAAAGCGUGGGUAGCAAACAGGAUUAGAUACCCUGGUAGUCCACGCCGUAAACGGUGGGCACUAGGUGUGGGCUCCAACCAACGGAGUCCGCGCCGUCGCUAACGCAUUAAGUGCCCCGCCUGGGGAGUACGGCCGCAAGGUUAAAACCUUAAAUGAAUUGACGGG
rnacentral:rRNA from 1 species